GAGUUUGAUCAUGGUUCAGGACGAACGCUGGCGGCACGCCUAACACAUGCAAGUCGAACGGAGAUAAUUGAGUUUACUUAAUUAUCUUAGUGGCGGACGGGUGAGUAACACGUGAGCAACCUGCCUCUGAGAGAGGGAUAGCUUCUGGAAACGGAUGGUAAUACCUCAUAACAUAUGCUUAAGGCAUCUUAGGCAUAUCAAAGAUUUAUCACUCAGAGAUGGGCUCGCGUCUGAUUAGCUAGAUGGUGAGGUAACGGCUCACCAUGGCGACGAUCAGUAGCCGGACUGAGAGGUUGAACGGCCACAUUGGGACUGAGACACGGCCCAGACUCCUACGGGAGGCAGCAGUGGGGAAUAUUGCACAAUGGGGGAAACCCUGAUGCAGCGAUGCCGCGUGGAGGAAGAAGGUUUUCGGAUUGUAAACUCCUGUCUUAAAGGACGAUAAUGACGGUACUUUAGGAGGAAGCUCCGGCUAACUACGUGCCAGCAGCCGCGGUAAUACGUAGGGAGCGAGCGUUGUCCGGAAUUACUGGGUGUAAAGGGAGCGUAGGCGGGAUGGUAAGUUAGAUGUGAAAUGCAGGGGCUCAACCCCUGAGCUGCAUUUAAAACUGCUGUUCUUGAGUGAAGUAGAGGUAAGCGGAAUUCCUGGUGUAGCGGUGAAAUGCGUAGAUAUCAGGAGGAACAUCGGUGGCGAAGGCGGCUUACUGGGCUUUUACUGACGCUGAGGCUCGAAAGCGUGGGGAGCAAACA
rnacentral:rRNA from 1 species